UAGUAUUACAGCUCUUUUAGAAUUGUCGAACAGAUUUUCUGGUCCUCGCCAGAAGACCCCC
rnacentral:snRNA from 1 species